AGCGAACGCUGGCGGCAGGCCUAACACAUGCAAGUCGAACGAACCUUUCGGGGGUAGUGGCGGACGGGUGAGUAACACGUGGGAACGUGCCUUUAGGUUCGGAAUAACUCAGGGAAACGUGUGCUAAUACCGAAUGUGCCCUUCGGGGGAAAGAUUAAUCGCCUUUAGAGCGGCCCGCGUCUGAUUAGCUAGUUGGUUGAGGUAAUGGCUCACCAAGGCGACGAUCAGUAGCUGGUCUGAGAGGAUGAUCAGCCACAUUGGGACUGAGACACGGCCCAAACUCCUACGGGAGGCAGCAGUGGGGAAUCUUGCGCAAUGGGCGAAAGCCUGACGCAGCCAUGCCGCGUGAAUGAUGAAGGUCUUAGGAUUGUAAAAUUCUUUCACCGGGGACGAUAAUGACGGUACCCGGAGAAGAAGCCCCGGCUAACUUCGUG
rnacentral:rRNA from 1 species